rnacentral:rRNA from 1 species
CCUACGGGAGGCAGCAGUGAGGAAUAUUGGUCAAUGGGCGCAAGCCUGAACCAGCCAAGUCGCGUGAGGGAUGACGGUCCUAUGGAUUGUAAACCUCUUUAGGCGGGGAGCAAUGCCGGGCACGCGUGCCCGGAGGGAGAGUACCCGCAGAAUAAGCAUCGGUUAACACCGUGCCAGCAGCCGCGGUAAUACGGAGGAUGCGAGCGUUAUCCGGAUUUAUUGGGGUUAAAGGGUGCGUAGGCGGAUUUUUAAGUCGGUGGUAAAAUGUUCGGGCUCAACCCAGGCCGGCAGUUGAUACUGGGGAUCUUGAGUGGGCGAGAGGUAGGCGGAAUGCGUGGUGUAGCGGUGAAAUGCAUAGAUAUCACGAAGAACUCCGAUUGCGAAGGCAGCAUACCGGCGCCCGACUGACGCUGAGGCACGAAAGCGUGGGGAUCGAACAGGAUUAGAUACCCGAGUAGUC